GAUGAACGCUGGCGGCGUGCCUAAUACAUGCAAGUCGAGCGAACGGACGAGAAGCUUGCUUCUCUGAUGUUAGCGGCGGACGGGUGAGUAACACGUGGAUAACCUACCUAUAAGACUGGGAUAACUUCGGGAAACCGUAGCUAAUACCGGAUAAUAUUUUGAACCGCAUGGUUCAAAAGUGAAAGACGGUCUUGCUGUCACUUAUAGAUGGAUCCGCGCUGCAUUAGCUAGUUGGUAAGGUAACGGCUUACCAAGGCAACGAUGCAUAGCCGACCUGAGAGGGUGAUCGGCCACACUGGAACUGAGACACGGUCCAGACUCCUACGGGAGGCAGCAGUAGGGAAUCUUCCGCAAUGGGCGAAAGCCUGACGGAGCAACGCCGCGUGAGUGAUGAAGGUCUUCGGAUCGUAAAACUCUGUUAUUAGGCAAGAACAUAUGUGUAAGUAACUGUGCACAUCUUGACGGUACCUAAUCAGAAAGCCACGGCUAACUACGUG
rnacentral:rRNA from 1 species